AGUGAACGCUGGCGGUAGGCCUAACACAUGCAAGUCGAACGGCAGCACAGUAAGAGCUUGCUCUUACGGGUGGCGAGUGGCGGACGGGUGAGGAAUACAUCGGAAUCUACUUUUUCGUGGGGGAUAACGUAGGGAAACUUACGCUAAUACCGCAUACGACCUACGGGUGAAAGCAGGGGAUCUUCGGACCUUGCGCGAUUGAAUGAGCCGAUGUCGGAUUAGCUAGUUGGCGGGGUAAAGGCCCACCAAGGCGACGAUCCGUAGCUGGUCUGAGAGGAUGAUCAGCCACACUGGAACUGAGACACGGUCCAGACUCCUACGGGAGGCAGCAGUGGGGAAUAUUGGACAAUGGGCGCAAGCCUGAUCCAGCCAUACCGAGUGGGUAAAGAAGGCCUUCGGGUUGUAAAGCCCUUUUGUUGGGAAAGAAAGGCAGCAGGUUAAAACCCCGCUGUUCUGACGGUACCCAAAGAAUAAGCACCGGCUAACUUCGUG
rnacentral:rRNA from 1 species